rnacentral:rRNA from 1 species
CCUACGGGAGGCAGCAGUGGGGAAUUUUGGACAAUGGACGCAAGUCUGAUCCAGCCAUUCCGCGUGCAGGACGAAGGCCUUCGGGUUGUAAACUGCUUUUGUACAGAACGAAAAGGUUUCUCUUAAUACGAGGGGCUCAUGACGGUACUGUAAGAAUAAGCACCGGCUAACUACGUGCCAGCAGCCGCGGUAAUACGUAGGGUGCAAGCGUUAAUCGGAAUUACUGGGCGUAAAGCGUGCGCAGGCGGUUAUAUAAGACAGAUGUGAAAUCCCCGGGCUCAACCUGGGAACUGCAUUUGUGACUGUAUAGCUGGAGUACGGUAGAGGGGGAUGGAAUUCCGCGUGUAGCAGUGAAAUGCGUAGAUAUGCGGAGGAACACCGAUGGCGAAGGCAAUCCCCUGGACCUGUACUGACGCUCAUGCACGAAAGCGUGGGGAGCAAACAGGAUUAGAUACCCUGGUAGUCCACGCCCUAAACGAUGUCAACUGGUUGUUGGGUCUUCACUGACUCAGUAACGAAGCUAACGCGUGAAGUUGACCGCCUGGGGAGUACGGCCGCAAGGUUGAAACUUAAAGGAAUUGACGGCUGAGAGNGCGAGACGACGACGAGGGAGGAGG